CCUACGGGGGGCAGCAGUAGGGAAUAUUGCUCAAUGGGGGAAACCCUGAAGCAGCAACGCCGCGUGGAGGAUGACGGUUUUAGGCUUGUAAACUACUUUUGUUAAAGACGAUUAUGACGGUAUCUAACGAUUACGCACCGGCUAACUCCGUACAAGCAGCCGCGGUAAUACGGCGGGUGCAAGCGUUACUCGGAAUCACUGGGCGUAACGCGUGUGUCGGCGGGGUAAUAAGUCAGAUGUGAAAUCCUCUAGCUUAACUACAGAACUGCAUUUGAAACUGUUCCUCUGGAGUGCGGGAGAGGUAGGUGGAAUUCUUGGUGUAGCGGUGAAAUCCGUAGAGAUCAAGAAGAACACUCAUUGCGAAGGCAACCUGCUGGAACAUUACUGACGCUGAUGCACGAAAGCGUGGGGAGCAAACAGGAUUAGAUACCCUUGUAGUC
rnacentral:rRNA from 1 species